rnacentral:lncRNA from 1 species
AUAAUCAAACCAUCAAUAACAGUAACGUAAGCAUGAGACUUUUUGGUAGUACCGGCGAACCAAAUGGCCGCGGCGAUGGAAUCUGGGACGGAGGACUUGUAGUAUCUCUCUAGAUCUGGCAAAAGCGAAAGACCCCCUAACAUAAUUCGAAUGGAGGCUGACCGCUGAGCCCACUCUGGCCUCGCGGGGCGGGCCCCUGUGGUUGCGAGCUGGAGCUG